GACGAACGCUGGCGGCGUGCUUAACACAUGCAAGUCGAACGGUGAUGAUGGGGCUUGCCCUGUCGGAUCAGUGGCGAACGGGUGAGUAACACGUGAGUAACCUGCCCCAGACUCUGGGAUAACCCCGGGACACCGGCGCUAAUACCGGAUAUGACCCUCGUGCGCAUGCGCGGGGGUGGACAGUUUUUUCGGUUUGGGAUGGGCUCGCGGCCUAUCGGCUUGUUGGUGAGGUAGUGGCUCACCAAGGCGACGACGGGUAGCCGGCCUGAGAGGGCGACCGGCCACACUGGGACUGAGACACGGCCCAGACUCCUACGGGAGGCAGCAGUGGGGAAUAUUGCACAAUGGGCGAAAGCCUGAUGCAGCGACGCCGCGUGAGGGAUGACGCCCUUCGGGUUGUAAACCUCUUUCAGCAGGGAAGAAGCGCAAGUGACGGUACCUGCAGAAGAAGCACCGGCUAACUACGUGCCAGCCGCCGCCGUAA
rnacentral:rRNA from 1 species